UACGUAGGAUGCGAGCGUUGUCCGGAUUUAUUGGGCGUAAAGCGAGCGCAGGUGGUUUAUUAAGUCUGGUGUAAAAGGCAGUGGCUCAACCAUUGUAUGCAUUGGAAACUGGUAGACUUGAGUGCAGGAGAGGAGAGUGGAAUUCCAUGUGUAGCGGUGAAAUGCGUAGAUAUAUGGAGGAACACCGGUGGCGAAAGCGGCUCUCUGGCCUGUAACUGACACUGAGGCUCGAAAGCGUGGGGAGCAAACAGG
rnacentral:rRNA from 1 species